AAUGAGGGAGAUAAGAUAGCUCCUGACCACUCACUGAGAAUGACCGCACAUUUAAUUAGCAUCGAGUUCUUACAUUAGUAUCUGUUAUGCAUAACUGCUAAAAGAAGGAGAACGGGAAAGAAGAUAGCAACAUGGUCGACCUAAAAGAUGGCGGAAUCAAGUGUUCUGGUCCUGGAUAUGACAGAAGAGUUUUGGAGAUGCCUUGCUGCGCAUGUGUAACUUUCUCCACUAUAUCUACCCUGUAGAUCCGAAUUUGUAUUUAUCACAUGACAAAUCCGUAUCUGCGGAGUUAUAUUUAGUGGCUGACUUAAACAACAUUACGGAGUAUGUAACUGGUUCUUAACUUCAACAGAGUGUUCUUCCUAGUAAAUAUGAAUUAUAUAGACUGUUAGAUCUUGUUUUCAGUAUAUUUAUUUAUUAAAUAAAAUGUAUACAUGCAA